GAUGAACGCUGGCGGCGUGCCUAAUACAUGCAAGUCGAGCGAACGGACGAGAAGCUUGCUUCUCUGAUGUUAGCGGCGGACGGGUGAGUAACACGUGGAUAACCUACCUAUAAGACUGGGAUAACUUCGGGAAACCGGAGCUAAUACCGGAUGAUAUUUUGAACCGCAUGGUUCAAAAGUGAAAGGCGGUCUUGCUGUCACUUAUAGAUGGAUCCGCGCUGCAUUAGCUAGUUGGUAAGGUAACGGCUUACCAAGGCAACGAUGCAUAGCCGACCUGAGAGGGUGAUCGGCCACACUGGAACUGAGACACGGUCCAGACUCCUACGGGAGGCAGCAGUAGGAAAUCUUCCGCAAUGGGCGAAAGCCUGACGGAGCAACGCCGCGUGAGUGAUGAAGGUCCUCGGAUCGUAAAACUCUGUUAUUAGGGAAGAACAUAUGUGUAAGUAACUGUGCACAUCUUGACGGUACCUAAUCAGAAAGCCACGGCUAACUACGUG
rnacentral:rRNA from 1 species